rnacentral:rRNA from 1 species
GAUGAACGCUAGCGGCAGGCUUAACACAUGCAAGUCGAGGGGCAGCACGGGUAGCAAUACUUGGUGGCGACCGGCGCAAGGGUGCGUAACGCGUGAGCAACAUGCCCGUAUCAGGGGGAUAAUCCAUGGAAACGUGGUCUAAUACCCCAUAGUAAGUUUUUGGGGCAUCUCAAAGAUUUUAAAGCUUUGGUGGAUACGGAUUGGCUCGCGUGACAUUAGCUAGAUGGUAAGGUAACGGCUUACCAUGGCUACGAUGUCUAGGGGUUCUGAGAGGAAGGUCCCCCACACUGGAACUGAGACACGGUCCAGACUCCUACGGGAGGCAGCAGUGAGGAAUAUUGGACAAUGGAUGGAAAUCUGAUCCAGCCAUGCCGCGUGCAGGAAGACGGCCCUAUGGGUUGUAAACUGCUUUUGUAUGGGAGCAAUAAGAUUUACGUGUAGAUUGAUGAGAGUACCAUACGAAUAAGCACCGGCUAACUCCGUGCCAGCAGCCGCAGUAACAC